GACGAACGCUGGCGGCGUGCCUAAUACAUGCAAGUUGAGCGCUGAAGGUUGGUACUUGUACCAACUGGAUGAGCAGCGAACGGGUGAGUAACGCGUGGGGAAUCUGCCUUUGAGCGGGGGACAACAUUUGGAAACGAAUGCUAAUACCGCAUAAAAACUUUAAACACAAGUUUUAAGUUUGAAAGAUGCAAUUGCAUCACUCAAAGAUGAUCCCGCGUUGUAUUAGCUAGUUGGUGAGGUAAAGGCUCACCAAGGCGAUGAUACAUAGCCGACCUGAGGGGGUGAUCGGCCACAUUGGGACUGAGACACGGCCCAAACUCCUACGGGAGGCAGCAGUAGGGAAUCUUCGGCAAUGGACGAAAGUCUGACCGAGCAACGCCGCGUGAGUGAAGAAGGUUUUCGGAUCGUAAAACUCUGUUGGUAGAGAAGAACGUUGGUGAGAGUGGAAAGCUCAUCAAGUGACGGUAACUACCCAGAAAGGGACGGCUAACUACGUG
rnacentral:rRNA from 1 species